rnacentral:tRNA from 1 species
UGGCCUAGUGGUUAUGGCUAUGGAUCGCCAAUCCGGAGACGGCGGGUUCGAUUCCCGU